rnacentral:rRNA from 1 species
GAGUUUGAUCAUGGCUCAGAUUGAACGCUGGCGGCAGGCCUAACACAUGCAAGUCGAACGGUAACAGGAAACAGCUUGCUGUUUCGCUGACGAGUGGCGGACGGGUGAGUAAUGUCUGGGAAACUGCCUGAUGGAGGGGGAUAACUACUGGAAACGGUAGCUAAUACCGCAUAACGUCGCAAGACCAAAGAGGGGGACCUUCGGGCCUCUUGCCAUCAGAUGUGCCCAGAUGGGAUUGGCUAGUAGGUGGGGUAACGGCUCACCUAGGCGACGAUCCCUAGCUGGUCUGAGAGGAUGACCAGCCACACUGGAACUGAGACACGGUCCAGACUCCUACGGGAGGCAGCAGUGGGGAAUAUUGCACAAUGGGCGCAAGCCUGAUGCAGCCAUGCCGCGUGUAUGAAGAAGGCCUUCGGGUUGUAAAGUACUUUCAGCGGGGAGGAAGGGAGUAAAGUUAAUACCUUUGCUCAUUGACGUUACCCGCAGAAGAAGCACCGGCUAACUCCGUGCCAGCAGCCGCGGUAAUACGGAGGGUGCAAGCGUUAAUCGGAAUUACUGGGCGUAAAGCGCACGCAGGCGGUUUGUUAAGUCAGAUGUGAAAUCCCCGGGCUCAACCUGGGAACUGCAUCUGAUACUGGCAAGCUUGAGUCUCGUAGAGGGGGGUAGAAUUCCAGGUGUAGCGGUGAAAUGCGUAGAGAUCUGGAGGAAUACCGGUGGCGAAGGCGGCCCCCUGGACGAAGACUGACGCUCAGGUGCGAAAGCGUGGGGAGCAAACAGGAUUAGAUACCCUGGUAGUCCACGCCGUAAACGAUGUCGACUUGGAGGUUGUGCCCUUGAGGCGUGGCUUCCGGAGCUAACGCGUUAAGUCGACCGCCUGGGGAGUACGGCCGCAAGGUUAAAACUCAAAUGAAUUGACGGGGGCCCGCACAAGCGGUGGAGCAUGUGGUUUAAUUCGAUGCAACGCGAAGAACCUUACCUGGUCUUGACAUCCACGGAAGUUUUCAGAGAUGAGAAUGUGCCUUCGGGAACCGUGAGACAGGUGCUGCAUGGCUGUCGUCAGCUCGUGUUGUGAAAUGUUGGGUUAAGUCCCGCAACGAGCGCAACCCUUAUCCUUUGUUGCCAGCGGUCCGGCCGGGAACUCAAAGGAGACUGCCAGUGAUAAACUGGAGGAAGGUGGGGAUGACGUCAAGUCAUCAUGGCCCUUACGACCAGGGCUACACACGUGCUACAAUGGCGCAUACAAAGAGAAGCGACCUCGCGAGAGCAAGCGGACCUCAUAAAGUGCGUCGUAGUCCGGAUUGGAGUCUGCAACUCGACUCCAUGAAGUCGGAAUCGCUAGUAAUCGUGGAUCAGAAUGCCACGGUGAAUACGUUCCCGGGCCUUGUACACACCGCCCGUCACACCAUGGGAGUGGGUUGCAAAAGAAGUAGGUAGCUUAACCUUCGGGAGGGCGCUUACCACUUUGUGAUUCAUGACUGGGGUGAAGUCGUAACAAGGUAACCGUAGGGGAACCUGCGGUUG